CUUUUCCUGACAAUCCUCUCCAGGCUGCUGUCAUCCCUGCUGCUUGUGCACCUUUUUCUUCCACACUUUUCCCUUCCACAUAACUUUCUAUUAAUGUGCUUUGAUACAGCACUUUGGGAACAUCCAACUUCCGCCACAAUUACCUUUUGAGGCUUUCCCUCCUUGUGGAGGGUGUCAGUGAUGGUUUUCUGCACAACUGUCAGGUCAGCAGUCUUCCCCAUGAUUGUGAUUCCUACUGAACCAGACAGAGACCAUUUAAAGGCUCAGAAACCCUUUGCAGGUGUUAUGGCUUACUUAG